GACGUAGGGGACGAGCGUUGUCCGGAUUCAUUGGGCGUAAAGCGCGCGUAGGCGGCCACGCAAGUCGGGUGUGAAAUCCCGGAGCUCAACUCCGGAACUGCACUCGAAACUGCGCGGCUUGAGGUAGGUAGGGGAGAUCGGAAUUCCUGGUGCAGCGGUGGAAUGCGCAGAUAUCAGGAGGAACACCGGUGGCGAAGGCGGAUCUCUGAGCCUUACCUGACGCUGAGACGCGAAAGCUAGGGGAGCGAACAGG
rnacentral:rRNA from 1 species